rnacentral:lncRNA from 1 species
UUUAUAAGAUAUUAUGAUUUUAAGGAAAAAUCAUGCUUUUAUUAUUUUCUUUUACACAAAAUCCACAGGAAUUUUAACGUGUAGACUGUUCGAGAGAAAGUAAUAAAAGUUUAUUAAAUCUUAUUAACACACCCGGCUCUCUAUUUGACACUCAGCUGCUUCUGACCCACAGUGUUUCUCAGGCAUAAAAAGAGAUCCAGCGAAGAUCUUGAAUUUGGGCAGAUCCUCCUGAUGUGGCUCCUGCGUGCAUGGCCGGAGAGGAUCCCAUCUGGCCCUCAAUCCUGCCGGGGGGUGAAAGUUGUCCCCAAAGCUCACGGGGUCAAACUCAGUAGUGGCAGACAAGCAUCAGCUCUCCCCAGGCCACCAGCCAGGCUCUGGAUGUCACACCCCCAGGCACAGACAACCAAAGGGGACAAGUUUUUUCCCCUUUUGGAGAAUAUGAUCCUGCCACUCUAGAUUCCAAUUAUACUCAUCCUAAUUUUUCCAAUUGAGUGACAGUGGUCCCUGGCAUAAACUCUGGCAUACAGAGAAGAGCAAAGGUGGAGUUCUUCAAGGAUGCUAGUGUUCCCCUCAGAAACAUGUUUCCUAAAGUAAUAAUGAAGAGUAUAUUCUGUGGAGUCUCCCACUGUGAAGAAGUAGAUUUUACCUGGCAAAUCCAUUCCAGCAUGCUCAUUUACUUGAACCUUUGAAUACCAUCAUCAACAGUAAACCUAGGAAUAUCAGACAUCUCCAGCUCAUUCACAGUGGAUCAUCUUUUGAUCCAUAUUUCAGCCAACAAACCAAAUAAACCUUUAGCAUCUUCUCAUCUUCACAAAGUAUGACAUUAAAUCCAGAAUUUGCUUAAUCAGCCCUUAAAAAGAAAUCCAGACUGCUUCAGGUUUAUAUUUUUUUCCACCAUUGUCUCAAACACUUAAAAUCCAUUUCCAACUAGAAAACUCAAGAAGUCCUUUGGGAGGGUAGCAUACUUCCUCAUGGGACAUGCUGUGUACCUUGCCUUUAGGAGCUUUCUGAGAUUCGAAACUGAUUCUAUGCCUAGAAGCAACAGUGAAUGGUAAAGGUGGGUCUUCAGGAGCAUUGGUCUUGCCUUGCUUGUUAACUGCAUCUGGAAAGGUCAUUACAAGGCCAGACAGGAUUUGCUUCCUUGGGCAGAGGUGGAUAAGCAAACACUACAAGUGAUGGGAGUGGGGAUUACUCUGUCACUGAAUGUGGGAAAAUCUCUUUCUUACCCAAAAUAAUCUCUGAAUGUAGAAGUUCAUUGCCUGGAGUUCUUAAUGAAGUCCUCCCAAAUAUUCCCACUCCAAUUUACUGGAUCCAAAACUUUUCCAAAAACUUCUCUCACUUUAAUUGCAGAUAAACUUUGGCUAAGGUGAGUAUUACACUUUUGCUAUAAUUCAGCCAAUCACACUAUGAGGGUUUGGCUUUGGGUUUUGGCAACUUCUGCCUGACAAAUGAAGAUUCACCUUCAGCACACUGGUAGAAGUGUUCACACUUUUAAAGCAUUUCUGGAGCUGGGAAUUUUAAUCUCUUUUGAGUUCAUUAUUUUCCUUUAUUACUUUAUUGACAUAUGUAGAUUAAAAUUGUUAAUGCAUGUCUGGAUCUUGAAAUUUAAGUCUUUGAGCUCAAUAUCUUCCUAAGUAAUUUGUCCAGACAUGCUGUGUGCAGACAGCCAGUGUUAUAUUAUUUGCUCUUACAAAAAUGUUCAAAAGUAUUAUAUACAGUUAUUAAAUUUCUUGCAUCUCAGAAAUGGUGGAUUAAGAUAAUCAAAUGGAUCUCUGUUGCAUAUUACUUUAAGUAAGUCAAACUAUGAAGUACCAAUAUUCUCUAUACUAUCAGGAGAGCCCAUGGCAACUUUAGGUCUCAUCAAAUUAGAGAACUAACUCCAGGAAUAACUAAACCAAUUACAAAAAUGCAUCCUUAUAAUUCUGUUUUUCUAGAACCACUCCUAGUGUCAGAGUCUGUAUUUGUUAGGAUUCUCUGGAAGA